AGAGUUUGAUCCUGGCUCAGAACGAACGCUGACGGUGUGCCUCAUACAUGCAAGUCGAGCGGGCUCAGCAAUGGGUCAGCGGCGGACGGGUGAGUAACACGUGAACAAUCUGCCCUCAAAUUUGGGAUAACGGCUCCAACGAGCCGCUAAUACCGGAUAGGUUUAUCUGAUCACCUGGUUGGAUAAAGAAAGUUGCAACUGCAACGUUUGAGGAUGAGUUCGCGGCCCAUUAGCUAGUUGGCGGGGUAAAGGCCCACCAAGGCGACGAUGGGUAGCCGGCCUGAGAGGGUGAUCGGCCACAUUGGGACUGAGAUACGGCCCAGACUCCUACGGGAGGCAGCAGUAGGGAAUUUUGCGCAAUGGACGAAAGUCUGACGCAGCAACACCGUGUGAGGGAUGAAGCAUUUCGGUGUGUAAACCUCUGUCGAUGAUGAAUAAAGCGUGUGGGAGUGGAAAGCCCAUGCGUUGAAGGUAAUCAUGAAGGAAGCACCGGCUAACUCUGUGCCAGCAGCCGCGGUAAUACAGGGGGUGCAAGCGUUGUUCGGAAUCACUGGGCGUAAAGGGAGCGUAGGCGGAACUACAAGACAGGGGUUAAAGAUCCGGGCUCAACCUGGAGAGUGCCUUUGUGACUGUGGUUCUUGAGUAUGGUAGAGGUCAGCGGAAUUUCCGGUGUAGCGGUGGAAUGCGUAGAGAUCGGAAAGAACACCAGAGGCGAAGGCGGCUGACUGGACCAAUACUGACGCUGAGGCUCGAAAGCGUGGGGAGCAAACAGGAUUAGAUACCCUGGUAGUCC
rnacentral:rRNA from 1 species